UACGUAGGUCCCGAGCGUUGUCCGGAUUUAUUGGGCGUAAAGCGAGCGCAGGUGGUUUAUUAAGUCUGGUGUAAAAGGCAGUGGCUCAACCAUUGUAUGCAUUGGAAACUGGUAGACUUGAGUGCAGGAGAGGAGAGGGGAAUUCCAUGUGUAGCGGUGAAAUGCGUAGAUAUAUGGAGGAACACCGGUGGCGAAAGCGGCUCUCUGGCCUGUAACUGACACUGAGGCUCGAAAGCGUGGGGAGCAAACAGG
rnacentral:rRNA from 1 species